ncrna:unclassified sequences pemK RNA
UUAAAGAUACUCCUGUCUAGCCACAGUCUAAAGCAAUGGAGACAGUUCGGAGAGAACCUCGGAAAGGUGAAAUUCCUGUGA